AGCUUUGCGCAGUGGCAGUAUCGUAGCCAAUGAGGUUUAUCCGAGGUGCAAUUAUUGCUAAUUGAAAAAUAUAUAUAUAUUUUAUAUAUAUAUAUGCCCAGCAUAUAUAUGUAUAGUAAAAUAUAUGUAUUUUGUAUAUAUAU